GAGAAAGAUUCAGAGUGCAUUAAAAUGCAGACCGGGAAUAAAGAAGUUUCUUGAUCAAGAAUCGUGUGACUGCAAUCCCAGCAAAUUGUCAAAUAUUGGACUGAAAAACGUCUGCCGACACAAGUUUGAGUACGUUACAAAGAUAAUCAAAUAUGGGAAAAAAUGCUAUGUUGUAUUUCCACAACGGCAAUGUAUAACAUACGCAGACUGUGACAGACAACGGGGUUGCGCAAAGGGACGGGGUGUAACAAGUGCCUGUUUGCCUGAUCGACACCGUUACUUUAAUGUCUGGGUAUUCUGUCCUCACAAUCAUCGGUUUGAACUGGAAACCUUGGAGUUGCCCCAGUGUUGUACCUGCAGAGAAUACAAACUCUGCAGAAGGCCAAUAGGAGGGGUAUAAACAGGAUAGCAUGUAAUACAACUUUUGUAGCACCGACGAAGGCGAAGAAACAGGUGGUGGAAUCUAGGGAGUUUCUACAAGAGCACUGCCUUUAAAUAUGCUACACAGUUUCUUUUGCUGUUUAGUUAUCA